UGUAAGCGUAUACCAAAGUUGUUGCAGUUAAAACGCUCGUAGUCGGAAUUUGGCAGUUCCGGAAGUGUGCACGUCGUGUGCGCACUUUGCGGGGACUGCUUUUGUGGUCUUGCGUAGGAUGAGGCACUUUCAUUAGUGAACGUCCUCACGCAACCACUCUUUACUGUGAGAAAAUCAGAGUGCUCAAAGCAGGCACUUGCCGUGAAUGUAUUAGCAUGGAAUAAUAGAAUAGGACUCGGUUCUAUUUUGUUGGUUUGUUGGGACUGAGUAAUGAUUAAGAGGGACAGUUGGGGGCAUUUGUAUUCCGGCGCUAGAGGUGAAAUUCUUAGAUUGCCGGAAGACAAACUGCUGCGAAAGCGUCUGCCAAGGAUGUUUUCAUUGA
rnacentral:rRNA from 1 species